UACAGAGGUCCCGAGCGUUGUUCGGAUUCACUGGGCGUAAAGGGUGCGUAGGCGGUCGGGUAAGUCUGAUGUGAAAUCUCACAGCUUAACUGUGAAACUGCAUUGGAUACUAUUCGGCUUGAGAGUUGGAGGGGGGACUGGAAUUCUCGGUGUAGCAGUGAAAUGCGUAGAUAUCUGGAAGAACACCAAAGGCGAAGGCAGCAUUCUGGCGCGUACCUGACGCUCAUGUGCGAAAGCUAGGGGAGCGAACGGG
rnacentral:rRNA from 1 species